rnacentral:ncRNA from 2 species
AAUGCCUCGUCAUCUAAU